rnacentral:rRNA from 1 species
UACCAGCUCUCCGAGUGGUGUGGAUGUUUAUUGGGCCCAAAGCAUCCGUAGCUGGCUGGGCAAGUCCCCUGUUAAAUCCACCGAUUUAAUCGUUGGUGUGCGGGGGAUACUGUUCGGCUAGGGGACGGGAGAGGCCGACGGUAUUUUCGGGGUAGGGGUGAAAUCCUAUAAUCCCGGGAAGACCACCAGAGGCGAAGGCUGUCGGCCAGAACGCGCCCGACGGUGAGGGAUGAAAGCUGGGGGAGCGAACCGGAUUAGAUACCCGGGUAGUCCCAGCUGUAAACGAUGCAGGCUAGGUGUUUGGGGUGGCUACGUGCCACUUCAGUGCCGCAGGGAAGCCAUUAAGCCCGCCGCCUGGGGAGUACGGCCGCAAGGCUGAAACUUAAAGGAAUUGGCGGGGGAGCACCACAAGGCGUGAAGUUUGCGGUUC